GGCCCUACGGGGCGCAGCAGGCGCGAAAACUUUACAAUGCGGGCAACCGUGAUAAGGGAACCUCGAGUGCCUGUACAUGCAGGCUGUUCGGGUGUCUAAAACACACCUGAAGAAAGGGCCGGGCAAGACCGGUGCCAGCCGCCGCGGUAAUACCGGCGGCUCGAGUGGUGGCCACUUUUAUUGGGCUUAAAGCGUUCGUAGCUGGGUUGUUAAGUCUCUUGGGAAAUCUGACGGCUCAACCGUCAGGCGUCUAAGGGAUACUGGCAAUCUUGGAACCGGGAGAGGUGAGGGGUACUUCGGGGGUAGGAGUGAAAUCCUGUAAUCCUCGAGGGACCACCUGUGGCGAAGGCGCCUCACCAGAACGGCUUCGACAGUGAGGGACGAAAGCUGGGGGAGCAAACCGGAUUAGAUACCCGGGUAGUCCCAGCCGUAAACGAUGCGCGUUAGGUGUAUCGGUGACCACGAGUCACCGAGGUGCCGAAGGGAAACCGUGAAACGUGCCACCUGGGAAGUACGGCCGCAAGGCUGAAACUUAAAGGAAUUGGCGGGGGAGCACCACAACGGGUGGAGCUUGCGGUUUAAUUGGAUUCAACGCCGGAAAUCUUACCG
rnacentral:rRNA from 1 species